UCCAUAGCACUGUGUCUCUGUCCCGGGAGGUCUCCGGCCGGUAGAGGUGGUGCCAGGUGAGGAGGCUCUGGCCCUGCAGGAGGCUGACAGCGGUGUGGUGCGUCUGAGAGCUGGAGGCCCCUUCUCUGAGGAGAUGAGCACUCUGUGGCUUGGAGUCCAGAGUCUGGGCUUCACACUGAUUUGUGAGCCCCACGAGAACCUGCUGCUGGCUGAGGGAACCCUCUGCAACUUGACCCAACACUGCCUGGAGCAUAUGCACAUGCUGGGUCAGGGGAGUGAGCUUCUGCGGCUCUGGCCCUGUCUGACAUUCCCUGGAACGGACCCAUAGUGAUGAUUGAGGCAUCAGCUGAGAAGAUGCUGCAGCAGGACUUCUGUCUUGCGGUGAAGGUGGGAGUCAAACACACCCAACAGAUCACACUGGACAUCCAGCAACUGGUACAGGAGCAGAAGGUCACCAAGCGCGCCCCAGUCAAGGUGUUCUCAGCCCCAGCUGAUGUGAUGGAACAUUUUUGGCAGUAAGACCAAUAAUGAAGCUGUUCAUAGUUUCAGAGUGAUGAAGGUGCAGGAGUUGUGCAUAUAAAAUACAAGUGUAAAACAUGAAGUUUUCCAGA